UGGCAUAAGCCAGCUUGACUGCGAGCGUGACGGCGCGAGCAGGUGCGAAAGCAGGUCAUAGUGAUCCGGUGGUUCUGAAUGGAAGGGCCAUCGCUCAACGGAUAAAAGGUACUCCGGGGAUAACAGGCUGAUACCGCCCAAGAGUUCAUAUCGACGGCGGUGUUUGGCACCUCGAUGUCGGCUCAUCACAUCCUGGGGCUGAAGUAGGUCCCAAGGGUAUGGCUGUUCGCCAUUUAAAGUGGUACGCGAGCUGGGUUUAGAACGUCGUGAGACAGUUCGGUCCCUAUCUGCCGUGGGCGCUGGAGAACUGAGGGGGGCUGCUCCUAGUACGAGAGGACCGGAGUGGACGCAUCACUGGUGUUCGGGUUGUCAUGCCAAUGGCACUGCCCGGUAGCUAAAUGCGGAAGAGAUAAGUGCUGAAAGCAUCUAAGCACGAAACUUGCCCCGAGAUG
rnacentral:rRNA from 1 species